UCGACAUGCCUCUUCCUCGUUAGAUCGACCGGUUCGCUCGGACGCAGACACCCACAUCCUCCUCUUUUCGACCCAACCCGCCUAGGGUUCCCAACCCCCUCGUCUGCCGCCGCGCCAUGCUACUAUUUUCCAAGCGCCGUCGCAAUGGGCUCCAUCGCCGUACAGCUCUCCUACCAAAUCGCUUGAUGCGAUGGGUCAUGCCGCAUCACCAGGCCCCGCGAUGCACGCCCACCAGCACUACCAGAUCGGGCGGUGAAGAGGACGCAAUCCACCGGCGACGAGGCGGGCGGCGCCGCCACGUUCGUGCUCGAGCGCCUCCGGGUACCUGGCAUGCGCGCGAGGCAAGGCGCCUCCUGGGCUCUAUCCAUCGCCGCAUCGCCGACAACCCCGCGGCCGAGCAGGAGGAGUGCUUCCACGGCUUCAAAUAUAUGCGAGUAGAUGCAGGCCGCAGCACAUGCUUCCAUCACCUCCCUGUGUCGCUCGAGUCAUGGGCUCCAUCGUGUGACGCACUGCAAGGAUGUCAACCAUGCUGCUGCAGGGUUCAGUGCCGUCAUCUUUGUGCGCAUCUUCCGCUCGGCAGAUGGAGUCUCCACAGAGAUAAGUUUCUCAAAUGAUUAACAUUAUGUUUGCGCUCCAGGUCUAGAGGAGGUAGAGGAGCUCCAGUUUGAUCCUAAGGAUGGUAUUGCUUUUUUUAGAAUUAAAUUACUUGUUCGUAUCGUAAUUUCAGACUGAGAAUUUUUCUUUUCUCAACUAUUUGCUAUCUGUUGUCCCUUCGAGAUGUUCUAAGUGGCCAAUUUGAGUUUGCCCGAUCACAGUUUCCACAAGCAUUGUUUGGCCUUUUAAAAGUUCUGAUAGAAAAAUUCUUACAUUCUUUCUCUUACAACCAAAAGGAGAUUCUACUUCAUGUGUUGUCUUACAAGCAACGAGGCUGGCUGUCUUCCACACACCACAAAUGAAGGUUUUGGAACUCCAUUCUCCAAUAGUAUCAGUGAAUCAAACACUCCAAUCUCUCUGAAUUCUAACCCACAGCAUCUCCGACACCCUCUCGACGAGUUGCAAUUAGAUCGUAGCUGAGGACGCGGCAAAUGACCACUGAGGUUCUCUUUGUGGUUUCUGAUAUUGCGGAAGCUGAAUGACAAUAGUAAUGACUGGUAGUUCCACGUUUGCAUUUGCUGACGACAACGAUAAUGAGUUUUUACGGCUGCACUUGAGGGUGAUCGUAUCCAUGCUACCAUUCUGCAGUAUCUUGAGAUUUCUACAGUGGAGUAGUACACAACUACGUAUCACAAGUUUGAGCUUAGAUGAACAACAUGAGCACCAUCAAACGGAUAGAUCAUGUGCCCGAUGGGUUUCAUGAUGGAGUAGUUGAUAACGGUUAUAUACAAAACAUAUCUUGACAGAGGUGGCGCCAGACGUCACGGAGAGGUACCGCGUUCGGGCCAACGAGGAGCUCCGGGCAUGGUGGGCGGCGGCCAUGGCAUUGGCCUCAUGGGUGUACUCUGACUGCCGCCGGCAAUUCUCGCAAACAAUGGCUUAGGUUUUGAGGAGGAUUAGCAUGUCACCACAUGACAACUUUGUAAGUGUGAUGUAAUACUGGCGAAUGUAUGCAUUCACACAAUCAAAGGAUUGAAUUGUGCGAAGGAUUCAUACUCCAUAUCUUUUUACCUCUCUAGACUCUAGAUCAUAUGGGAAUAACCACAGUUGCUUAACUCAGCAAAUAGCAACAUCACUGCACUCGGUCCUUUUCUGCUCUUCAACAAGUUGGCCCGAGACAUAUCUUGCUUGCUUGCUGAUCUGGUGAUUGUUCAACACAGCUGGACAUGUGUUGGAUGGUUAUUUUUUUAUUCUGAAAGGAGAUCUUGUAUGCUGCUAUGUUCUUUCAAAUUGUGGAUAACAUUUUGAUCUAAGUGAUCUGGUUCUUUCAA